AUAGAUCAUGUUCUCUAAAGAAUGGUGUAACAGACUAAAGAAAUAAAAAUCCUACACCCCUGAAGAUGCAGUGGGACGGAUUGAAAUCACAACGGUGAAUCUUGCCUUCCUGAAGUUGCAGUGAAGCAGAUUUAAGCCACCAAGCCUUAACCUCCUAAGCAGUAGGGUAAUAGGCUGGAAAUUACAGAUCUUGCCUUCCUGAAGUUGCAGUGAAGCAGAUUCAAGCCACCAAGCCUUAACCCCCUAAGCAGUAAGGUAAUAGGCUGAAAAUUACAGAUCUUGUAUCUCUGAAGUUGCAGUGGAACAGAUCGAAUACAGCGAAUCUUAUCUCCCUGAAGUUGCAGUGGAACAGACUGAAGCUGUGGACAAACAGAUCUUAUCUCUCUGAAGUUGCAGUAGAGCAGAUCAAAACAAACCUAAUCUCUCUGAAGUUGUAGUAGAACAGAUUAAGGCUAUAAAUCAUAUCCUCCUGAAGUUGCAAUGGGGCAGAUCGAAGUUAUCAUGACAAGUCUUAUCUCCCUAAAGUUGCAGUGGAGCAGACCGAAGAUAGCUAAUCUUAUCCUAUACCUCUGAAGUUGCAGUAGGUCAGAUUGAAUCUUUUAUAGCAAGUCUUGUCUCCCCGAAGUUGCAGCGGAGCAAACUAAAAUCACAAAUCCUAUAUCACCUUGAAGUCCCAAAGAAGCAAAUUGAAACCACAAGUCCCAUCUCUCCGAA
rnacentral:lncRNA from 1 species